rnacentral:lncRNA from 1 species
CCGUGUGGUACGCCAAUUUCAAAAUGAUGUAAUUAAAAUGCCUACAUUGCAUAUUAAUACACUAAUCAGUUUAGACAGGCAAGUGCACGGCUUGUAGAAUAUGGAAUUUACGAAAAUGUUUAUUAGGUCGAUGUUAUUUGAAUGUUACAAAAUGACUAUGUUAUACAUUUGUACUAUCAAUACGCAGCUCAUCAUAGUUUCUCUAAUAAUCCGCAGUGACUCUGUCUUUUCAUAAGAUUGACUGUAAUUGCUAUUUAAAUCGGUUUAACUAUAUUAACCUUGAAACAACAUCUUGUGUGUCCUAGCUAGCUAUAUACCUGUAGCCCAAAAGGCUUCGACUUUUACUUCUAGUCUAACAUCCUACAAACUGCCGUAAAAUAAGUUUCAUCAUUAAGAUUCUUGAACAGUCUAUAAAUACACAUGGAAAAAGGUAUUUUGAAAUUGAAAAUAAAAAACGCUCUAUAUUGUUUUGUGAUAUAAGUUAUUGAAAUAGGACUAUUUAAACAUUAUUUAAACAUCGCUUGAGUUUAAUCGAAAUAAAUGUCGACUCGAUAAGUUCUAUUUACUGUUCCCGUAAACAGCAUAACAACUGCGUUUAUCCUCAUUGUUUUCAACACAUAACCUGGGUAAAGUCUCUUUUUUAUUACUGUGCUAUAAUAUGGAUAAUGCACAGUAAAAGUGUGCAUAAACUACAUCAGAUAUUUUGCACAGUGUAAAAUACUCUGACCUGUAGGAGCAGACCCUGGAUUUUGAAAGGUGUGUAAUUCCAUUUGAUUUAAAAAAAAAAAAAAAAAAAAAACAAAAAAAAAAAAACAAAAAAAAACAACAUCAUCGUGUGUAGCGAGACUAGCAAAAUUUUUGACAAUUUUACGAUUAAACAUUGUAUUUGUUUUCCAUUCAAUAGGUGGGAACUUAAUGUAUGAUUUAUUUUUGUAUUCAAUGUAAAUCCAAAUCAGUGUUUAAAAGUCCAACCGAUAAAAACACAUUUUUUUUGGUAAUUUCUGGCAAAACUGUGAUGUAUAUCUAUCUAUCUGUAUUCUAAUUUAGCUUAUAUACUUUUUUUUGCUUAGGGGCAAGCUGAAGCACGAUUCCGGGUGCGGGAGUUUCUCGCUGCAUUUAACACCUAUUGGUAACCUUCCUGCCGUUCUUUGCUCUUUGGUCGGGUUUUCCAUACUCAAUUAUUUUAUUUUUUUAUUUUAUGCUCGAAUUUAAGGAGGAUCAUACUUAAGGGUAUUAAGCUGCAGAUCAACCAGACUUAAAGAUACGACAUGUCUUCAAUAAUUAAUACAGUAGAAACAAAUUUAAAGAUUGAAACAAGAUUUUUUUCAUUCGGUUUACUUUAUCUGUAUAAAUUUAUGUAGAUCUAUCCUUGGUUCAUCUUCCUCUUCCUCUAAUCAUAUUAUUUAGCGAAUGAAAUGCAACUUAUCUUAACUCAAUAACCCUGUCAAUUUUGAUUUUUCUAACAUAUUCAAAAAUUACACCAAACCGAACUAAAACUGUAGGUCUGGAGAUGUAGAUUAUACGUCAAUAGGACAGCAAUCGUACAACAAACACAAGUUAAGGACAUAUAUAGGGGGC